rnacentral:rRNA from 2 species
GCUUCCCGCUGACGAGCGGCGGACGGGUGAGUAAUGCUUAGGAAUCUGCCCAGUAGUGGGGGAUAGCCCGGGGAAACCCGGAUUAAUACCGCAUACGUCCUACGGGAGAAAGCAGGGGAUCUUCGGACCUUGCGCUAUUGGAUGAGCCUAAGUCGGAUUAGCUAGUUGGUGGGGUAAAGGCCUACCAAGGCGACGAUCCGUAGCUGGUCUGAGAGGAUGAUCAGCCACAUCGGGACUGAGACACGGCCCGAACUCCUACGGGAGGCAGCAGUGGGGAAUAUUGGACAAUGGGGGCAACCCUGAUCCAGCCAUGCCGCGUGUGUGAAGAAGGCUUUCGGGUUGUAAAGCACUUUCAGUAGGGAGGAAAACCUUAUGGUUAAUACCCAUGAGGCUUGACGUUACCUACAGAAGAAGCACCGGCUAACUCCGUGCCAGCAGCCGCGGUAAUACGGAGGGUGCAAGCGUUAAUCGGAAUUACUGGGCGUAAAGCGCGCGUAGGUG